CUAGAGACACAAUGAUGAGGGCGAUGUGCUUUAGCCCAGAGAAUGGUACGUGUGUGUGUGUGUGUGUGUGUGUGUGUGUGUGUGUGUGCGCGCACGCUUGUGCUUAUAAUGUACCAUCAGUCCUGGGCGCUGAAAGUAAAACUGAUAAGAUCUGAGUGUCUC